CAGAAUAAGGAAGAUCUGUUCCUGGGCGAGAUCCAAUUCUUUUCCAUCUGCUUCACAGCAGCAACCUUUCCUCAUGCUAUAUAAAUUGUUGAUACCCUUUUGAAAUUUGGAUUUCUUGCUUCCGUCCUGACGAGUGCCAGCAUGAAGAAAGUACCUGUACUGUGAAGACCCCCAUGUACAUGCUGAAUCAUCCAUGAAUAAAGGUUCCAUUGCGGUGUUUUUGAUAACCA